UAGGGAAUCUUCGGCAAUGGACGAAAGUCUGACUGAGCAACGCCGCGUGAGUGAAGAAGGUUUUCGGAUCGUAAAACUCUGUUGUUAGAGAAGAACAAGGACGUUAGUAACUGAACGUCCCCUGACGGUAUCUAACCAGAAAGCCACGGCUAACUACGUGCCAGCAGCCGCGGUAAUACGUAGGUGGCAAGCGUUGUCCGGAUUUAUUGGGCGUAAAGCGAGCGCAGGCGGUUUCUUAAGUCUGAUGUGAAAGCCCCCGGCUCAACCGGGGAGGGUCAUUGGAAACUGGGAGACUUGAGUGCAGAAGAGGAGAGUGGAAUUCCAUGUGUAGCGGUGAAAUGCGUAGAUAUAUGGAGGAACACCAGUGGCGAAGGCGGCUCUCUGGUCUGUAACUGACGCUUAGGCUCGAAAGCGUGGGGAGCAAACAGG
rnacentral:rRNA from 1 species